UAUAUAAAAAUAGAUUGCCGCUGAUGG
rnacentral:piRNA from 1 species